rnacentral:rRNA from 1 species
GCGGAGGAAAAGAAACUAACAAGGAUUCCCUUAGUAAUGGCGAAUGAACAGGGAAAAGCUCAAAUUUAAAAUCCUUUUUAUUAAGGAAUUGUAGUUUAAAGAAAUAUGACCAGUAACAACCUCGGUUUAAGAUAACCUGGAAAGGUUCUACAGAGAGGGUGAUAUACCCGUAUUUGGCUGAGGAGUUGAUUACAUAGAGUUAUAUUUUAAAGAGUCAGGUUGCUUGGGACUGCAGCCUAAAAUGGGAGGUAAAUUUUUUUUAAGGCUAAAUAUUGGCAAGAGACCGAUAGCGAACAAGUACCGUGAGGGAAAGAUGAAAUAGAACCUUGAAAAGGGGUUUAAAAGGAAGUGAAAUUGUUAAAAGGGAAACGCUUAAAGGUCGAGAUAAAUAAAAAGGAAAUGAUAUAUUAUUAUAUUAUGCUCCAAUUUAUUAGCGGUUAACGGGUAUUUUAAACAAUGGAGAAGAGUUUAAUAAAGGUAGGUUGGGGUUAAACCUAACAACUUAUAGGAUUAAAUUUUUACAUUGAUUAAGAUAUCAUAAAAAAAAAAAUUUAUAAAUUUUAAUGAAUUAGAUUAAUUUAUUAUUAAAACAGUACUUGUACUCUUUUAGUAAAUAAAAUGAUAAAAUUUAUUAAAGGUUAUAAAUUAGUUUGACCUA